ensembl:lncRNA
CGGGUCCCCCCCGCCCCAGAUCUCUCCUUCCCCCCUCCCCACUCCCACCCACCUCUUCACAACCUGGCAUCAAAGAAAGACAUUGACCAAAAACUUGCUCACAUUACCACGAACAGACUUCACUCAGCCAAUAACGACUAUAGUCACUCAACUAACAACGCGGCCUCCGGGUGCUCGGCCGGGGAAGCACUUAAGCCAUCAUCACAUUUCCUGCUCCAGCCCCUCCGGUACCGAAGAGAACAGGUCCGAACGCCCCUCGGAACGGUGGCUGGAGCCCCACAGCCCACCCACUCUAUUCCCAUCAGCAGGAGAACGUGGCACAACGUGCAGCUCCAAUGCAACCACUGGGCUUCUUCGCAACCACUGGGCUUCAACGUGCUCCUGGGCUCCAGCACAACCACUGGGGCUCGAAUGCAACCACUGAACUCCAACACAACCACUGGGCUUCAACACAACCCUUGGAGCUCCAGUGCAACCAUGCGGCUCCAACAAAGCAUGGGCUCCAACGCAGCCAUGGGGCUCCAAUGAACCGUGAGACUUCAACGCAACUGUGGAGCUCUGAUGAAACCAUUGGGGCUCCAACGCAAUCAUCAGGCUCCAAUGCAACAACUGGAGCUCCAAUGCAAUCAUUGGGGCUCCAGUGCAACCACGGGGCAUGGGCUCCAAUGCAGCCAUAGGGCUCCAACAAACCAUGAGACUUCAACGCAACUGUGGAGCUCUGAUGAAAUCAUUGGAGCUCCAACGCAAUCAUCAGGCUGCAAAGCAACAACUGGAGCUCCAACGCAAUCACUGGGGCUCCAAUGCAGCCAUGGGGCUCCAACAAACCAUGGGCUCCAAUGCAACCAUGGGGCUCCACCAAACCAUGAGACUUCAAUGCAACUGUGGAGCUCUGAUGAAACCACUGGAGCUCCAACGCAAUCAUCAGGCUCCAAUGCAACAAUUGGGGCUGCAAGCAAUCUUUGGGGCUCCAAUGCAACCAUGGGGCUCCACCAAACCAUGAGACUUCAAUGCAACUGUGGAGCUCUGAUGAAACCAUUGGGGCUCCAACACAACCAUCAGGCUCCAAUGCAACAAUUGGAGCUGAACCAUUGGGGCUCCAACGCAAUCAUCAGGCUCCAAUGCAACAACUGGGGCUGCAACGCAAUCAUUGGGGCUCCAAUGCAACCAUGGGGCUCCAGCACAACCAUGGGCUCCAAUGCAGCCAUAGGGCUCCAACAAACCAUGAGACUUCAACGCAACUGUGGAGCUCUGAUGAAAUCAUUGGAGCUCCAACGCAAUCAUCAGGCUGCAAAGCAACAACUGGAGCUCCAACGCAAUCACUGGGGCUCCAAUGCAACCAUGGGCUCCAACGCAGCCAUGGGGCUCCACCAAACCAUGAGACUUCAAUGCAACUGUGGAGCUCUGAUGAAACCAUUGGGGCUCCAACACAACAACUGGAGCUCCAACGCAAUCAUUGGGGCUCCAAUGCAACCAUGGGGCUCCAAUGAACCAUGAGACUCCAACGCAACCAUAGGGCUCCAACAAACCAUGAGACUUCAACGCAACUGUGGAGCUCUGAUGAAAUCAUUGGAGCUCCAACGCAAUCAUCAGGCUGCAAAGCAACAACUGGAGCUCCAACGCAAUCACUGGGGCUCCAAUGCAACCAUGGGCUCCAACGCAGCCAUGGGGCUCCACCAAACCAUGAGACUUCAAUGCAACUGUGGAGCUCUGAUGAAACCAUUGGGGCUCCAACACAACCAUCAGGCUCCAAUGCAACAAUUGGAGCUGCAACGCAAUCACUGGGGCUCCAAUGCAGCCGUGGGGUUCCAACAAACCAUUAGACUUCAAUGCAACCAUGGAGCUCUGAUGAAACCAUUGGAGCUCCAACGCAACCACCAGGCUCCAAUGCAACCAUGGGGCUCCAACAAACCAUGAGACUUCAAUGCAUGGAGCUCUGAUGAAACCAUUGGAGCUCCAACGCAAUCACCAGGCUCCAAUGCAACCAUGGGGCUCCAAUGAACCAUGAGAACUCCAACGCAACUGUGGAGCUCUGAUGAAACCACUGGGGCUCCAACACAACAACUGGAGCUCCAACGCAAUCACCAGGCUCCAAUGCAACCAUGGGGCUCCAACAAACCAUUAGACUUCAAUGCAACCAUGGAGCUCUGACACAACCAUUGGGGCUCCGACGCAACCAUGGGGCUUCAAUGCAACCAUUGGGCUCCAAAGCAACCCGGGGGCACAGAUGCAAUGCAGGUGCUGGCGCGGAGGGCUCAGAGCACCAUAAUGCCCCCAAGUGUCCAAAACCCCCUUGUGGGGACUAAACCAAAGCCAGACUUGGAACAAGAACCAGGUUUAGGAAGGACGUGGCCGAGGCUGUGCCCACCCCAGCACAUGUUCACAUCCCGAUCUGCUCCGAGCACACAGUGCAACGCGUGGGGAACCAAAGGCUUCUGAAAGCUCUGGGGAGGAGGCGAGCACACAUCCGACCUGACAGCAUCCCUUCAGCACAGCA